CAUUGGGAAGUUUAGCCAGGAAGUCAGCGUCU
rnacentral:sRNA from 1 species